GUUAAAACUCAAAUGAAUUGACGGGGGCCCGCACAAGCGGUGGAGCAUGUGGUUUAAUUCGAUGCAACGCGAAGAACCUUACCUGGUCUUGACAUCCACAGAACUUUCCAGAGAUGGAUUGGUGCCUUCGGGAACUGUGAGACAGGUGCUGCAUGGCUGUCGUCAGCUCGUGUUGUGAAAUGUUGGGUUAAGUCCCGCAACGAGCGCAACCCUUAUCCUUUGUUGCCAGCGGUCC
rnacentral:rRNA from 1 species